CAGGAUAACCCGUCGCACUUUGUUUUCUCGGUUUCUCCAGUGGUGUGCGGUGAGAUCGUGAAACACUAUCACUUUGCUUUCUCCACUCAUGACUUGAUUCCUCCGCCAGCAUCCUCCUCUGUAGCACGACGCCUCCUCUGCAGCACGCCGUUCUCCGGCCACGGCGAUGCCCGGCGGCCCCUCUCCCCCAACCCACACCACCAACACAACCACCACGGCCUCGCCCCGUCUCGUCCUAUCCCCACCAUAGCCCCGCCCCGCCGGCCCUUACCCCCACGACGACCUCUCCCCGCCGGCCCUUAUCCACACAACGGCCUCUCCCCGCUAGCUCCUGUCACCACCGCGGCCUUGCCUCGCCGCCAACCCCGCUCAUCUUCCCUAGAUCAGCUCUGCCCCCGCCAUCGUACUGCCCAGAGCAGAUCGAGAUGCGAGCUGCUGUACAUGAUGUGGGAGGAGGCAUCUCGAAUUGGACCGAGAUUCAGUCCAUUGUGCCCGCCGUAAUCAUCGCCCCCCGUGCUUGGCUCACACAGUCGCUCCGGAAAGAGUUCGCAGCUUGUGUACGUGCUCGGUUGCUGAAGGUUGUAAUGUCGCAUUAUUACCGGCACUAAGUAACAAAGAGUUCCAGGGUCACAAGCAGGCGCCUUCGCCACAUUGUCAUUCAUUUGUGAGAUGUUUCUAUUUCUCUAUGUUGGCAUGGAUGAUAUAGAGUAGUGGAAGAAUGUUAGUGAAACACAUACAGGCUUGAAGUGGCGGUCGUAACACAGUCGGUUGGGAGGACUCAAUGUCAGAGUCGAUAUUAUGGACAUUUUCCUUGUUAGAACCAACACUGUCUGGUGUGCUCUUAAUGAAUUUGGAGCAUGAAGUGGAGUUUGAUCACUCAUUAUCAUAUCAACAGCUGGGGUGUGUCGUUGUGGGGUGACAGCAGACUGCGCACUGGGCCUGUCCACAAUGUCAAAACAUGUCCAAAAGAAGACUUGAUUAAUACGACUUUACUUGUGAUUCAUGAAAUGUAUGAGAAAAUGGAGUAACCAGGCGACAUGGCCACGGGUGGCUUUGAUAGAGUGUUGGUUACAUUUAUAAUAGCAGACAUAGCUUUCUUAAAUCCCUUGCCUCCUGUCAUAAUUUUUUAGUAUUGCAUCCCUUUUUACCUCUCCCAUUCCCUUUGUCUCUUUAGUUCUUUUGGAUCUGUUUUUUGACCUGUGAGGCAACGAUAUAUUUUGGAUUUACAAGAUUGAAGUACGUAAGAGUACAUGAUAUAUGUAUUUACCUGAAUUGUCGUUGCUUGUCAGGUCCUGAAAGGGAGUACGUGCCCCACUAUGCUCAAAGGAUGCCAUAUUGUCAACUCAGUUUGUCAUGCAGAUCAUGAUGUACUGUCAGAAAGUAGUCAUAUGUCCUCGAGAUGCUACGGGCCACACGGGGUGAUGACACCGCAGGUAGGGCAGCACGCCGUUGUCGAGGACGACCACCGGGUGGAGGACGUCGCGACCACCAGGGACGGCAGCGGUGUGGCGAUGAAGGCGGGGCGAGGAAAGGUUGGGCAGCAAGGCGGGUCGAGGAAUGACGUGCACCGGGGCGGAGGACAUUGCGGCCACGAGGGGCUAGGGCGGCGUGGCGACGACGGAGGGGCGAGGAGAGGUAGGGGAGCAAGGCGGGUCGAGGAUGUCUACCGGGUCGAGGACAUCGCAUACACCAGCGCUGAUCACGGCGGUUCCUGGCGUGGUGGCGGCGUAGAUCGUGGAGGUGCUGUUUAAUUCCCAGGAGGUGUCAUCGUGGGGUUGUGUAACAUCCUGAAUGGGGGAGUCUGCCGGCAAAACAUUUGUUGUGAACCGUUGAUUUGAUUGUAGUAUGGUUGAUGUAACGUGGACAGUUGGAUGGUAUCAAGUGGGUCUGAUCGGACGUGGGGGGUUAUCCCGUGUGCACUUUCUGGUGUGGAUGUAGGGGAAGUCAUGUUUGGUCUUUUAAUAGUAGUAAGAUAAAGAUUAGUCGCGAAGAAACAUGGUCGUCGUCGUAGUAACGAUUUUCAUUGCCGGACGUAGCAAGCGGAGACGACAAUUGCAUCAAAAAAUGUCAUCGUCGUCAAUGACGGUUGUAACUUCCCGUGCAGGUCAAAACAUAUACAUCGCUGGUUGUAGCAAACAACCUCAUC
rnacentral:rRNA from 1 species